AGGUUUGCAGGUGGUAACUGGGUGGAGCUGAGGGAUUUCAUGCUGCUGGCCUGAGGAAUAGUGUCAGCUCUUGUGUGUGAACUGGGAGGAAACAUGAAGAGGAUGAAAGGUCCAUACAGGAAAAGCCAGAGUCUCUCAGACUACAAAGGAAUCUGGAAGGAUUUGAUAGCUGAGGCUUUUCUUGUCGCAAGAACAAAGGGUCCUUUAGGUUUCCAAACGUCAAGUCAUCAGCUGCAAAUGUUGUUUGAAAAUGCUUGAAAAUGCAGUGUUUGAAAAUGUUGAAAAUGCAAGGUGGAGUCCGUUGGCAUCAAUCAGUCAUCGAGGAUGACCAGCUUGUUUUCUUGCUCUUCUUUCGUAUUCCUUCCCAGCAAAGCUCUGGAGGUGUCAUUAGGAGCAGUGAGCUCUUUGGAGAUGGUCUAACAGCUGCUGAGCAGGUCGGUUCUGCAUCAUUAAUUUGCUUCUCAGCUUCUCUCCCUGUCACAAACUGAGGGCAGUGAGCGGCUGCUCAGCAGAUAAAGUACCUACUGGGGGUCCUGGUACAACCCCAAGAAGCCCCGCACCAAGGCAGGAUGAUGCACCUCCAUAGAGGGACGGGCUCAGCAUCAUGUUGCCUGUUUGGAUGGAAACAUCUGGGUUGACUGACAAGCCAAGCACCCACCUCCUGACCCAGCAGCAGCUCUCCAGCAAUGAGACCUGCUUCUCACCAGCUGCUCGGUGGCACUGGGGCUGGAUGCAACAAGGCAGCGGUGCAAGGAGAGGAGGGAGGAGCGGCGCUGGUGGAUGUACCAGGUACAGAGCCCCAGACAUAACACUAAUGAAUCUGUGGUGGGUGAAUCUGUGGUGGGCUCUGAGCCCUGUCUCCUCCAUCUGUGGUCAGUUCAGGAAUUUGGGUGCAUCAAAGUGGUUGUGCUGGGCCAGCAAUUGGCUCUAUGGCAGCUUUAGUGCAAUAAACCGUUGCUG
ensembl:lncRNA